GACAUAGGUGGCAAACGUUAUCCGGAAUUAUUGGGCGUAAAGGGCGCGUAGGCGGCCUUCUAAGUCAGACGUGAAAUCCCCGGGCUCAACCCGGGAACUGCGUCUGAUACUGGAAGGCUUGAAUCCGGGAGAGGGAUGUGGAAUUCCAGGUGUAGCGGUGAAAUGCGUAGAUAUCUGGAGGAACACCGGUGGCGAAGGCGGCAUCCUGGACCGGUAUUGACGCUGAGGCGCGAAAGCCAGGGGAGCAAACGGG
rnacentral:rRNA from 1 species